GCUGGGUGUGGUGGCUCAUGCCUGUAAUCCCAGCUACUAGGAAGGCUGAGAUGGGAGGAUUGCUUGAGCCCAGGAGGUUAAGGCUGCAGUGGGCUGUGGUCGUGCCGCUGCACUCCAGCCUGGGCGACACAGUGAGACCCUGUCUCAA
rfam:Pan troglodytes isolate Yerkes chimp pedigree #C0471 (Clint) chromosome 11, whole genome shotgun sequence.